rnacentral:rRNA from 1 species
UGGGGAAUAUUGGACAAUGGGGGCAACCCUGAUCCAGCGAUGCCGCGUGAAUGAAGAAGGUUUUCGGAUUGUAAAGUUCUUUUCUUAGGGAAGAUGAUGACGGUACCUAAGGAAUAAGCACCGGCAAACUCUGUGCCAGCAGCCGCGGUAAUACAGAGGGUGCAAGCGUUGUUCGGAAUUACUGGGCGUAAAGGGCGCGUAGGCGGUUGAAUAAGUCUAACGUUAAAGACCUGGGCUUAACCUGGGGAAUGCGAGAGAAACUGAUUGACUAGAAUUUAGGAGAGGAGAGUGGAAUUUCCGGUGUAGAGGUGGAAUUCGUAGAUAUCGGAAGGAACAUCAGAGGCGAAGGCGGCUCUCUGGCCUGAUAUUGACGCUGAGGCGCGAGAGCGUGGGGAGCAAACAGG